rnacentral:rRNA from 1 species
UACGAAGGGAGCUAGCGUUGUCCGGAAUUACUGGGCGUAAAGAGCUCGUAGGUGGUUUGUCGCGUUGUUCGUGAAAACUCACAGCUCAACUGUGGGCGUGCGGGCGAUACGGGCAGACUGGAGUACUGCAGGGGAGACUGGAAUUCCUGGUGUAGCGGUGGAAUGCGCAGAUAUCAGGAGGAACACCGGUGGCGAAGGCGGGUCUCUGGGCAGUAACUGACGCUGAGGAGCGAAAGCGUGGGGAGCGAACAGG